rnacentral:rRNA from 1 species
AGUGAACGCUGGCGGUAGGCCUAACACAUGCAAGUCGAACGGCAGCACAGUAAGAGCUUGCUCUUACGGGUGGCGAGUGGCGGACGGGUGAGGAAUACAUCGGAAUCUACUUUUUCGUGGGGGAUAACGUAGGGAAACUUACGCUAAUACCGCAUACGACCUACGGGUGAAAGCAGGGGAUCUUCGGACCUUGCGCGAUUGAAUGAGCCGAUGUCGGAUUAGCUAGUUGGCGGGGUAAAGGCCCACCAAGGCGACGAUCCGUAGCUGGUCUGAGAGGAUGAUCAGCCACACUGGAACUGAGACACGGUCCAGACUCCUACGGGAGGCAGCAGUGGGGAAUAUUGGACAAUGGGCGCAAGCCUGAUCCAGCCAUACCGCGUGGGGGAAAAAGGCCUUCGGGUUUUAAAGCCCUUUUGUUGGGAAAGAAAAACAGCAGGUUAAAACCCCGCUGUUCUGACGGUACCCAAAGAAUAAGCACCGGCUAACUUCGUG